UACGGAGGAUGCAAGCGUUAUCUGGAAUGAUUGGGCGUAAAGCGUCCGCAGGUGGCAAUGUAAGUCUGCUGUCAAAGCGUCUGGCUCAACCAGAUAAAGGCAGUGGAAACUACAUAGCUAGAGUAAGGUAGGGGUAGAGGGAAUUCCUGGUGUAGCGGUGAAAUGCGUAGAGAUCAGGAAGAACACCGGUGGCGAAAGCGCUCUGCUGGACCUUAACUGACACUGAGGGACGAAAGCUAGGGGAGCGAAUGGG
rnacentral:rRNA from 1 species